rnacentral:rRNA from 1 species
UCAGAAAUGGCAUUGGAAACUACCUUGCUCGAGGAUUGGAGGGGGGACUGGAAUUCUCGGUGUAGCAGUGAAAUGCGUAGAGAUCGAGAGGAACACCAGUGGCGAAGGCGAGUCCCUGGACAAUUCCUGACGCUGAGGCACGAAAGCUAGGGGAGCAAACAGGAUUAGAUACCCUGGUAGUCCUAGCCGUAAACGGUGUGCACUUGCUGUAGGCGGAAUCGACCCCGUCUGUGGCGAAGCAAACGCGUUAAGUGCACCGCCUGGGAAGUACGGUCGCAAGAUUAAAACUCAAAGAAAUUGACGGGGGCCUGCACAAGCGGUGGAGUAUGUGGCUCAAUUCGAUGCAACGCGAAGAACCUUACCUGGCCUUGACAUGUAGAUGGUAGAAGGAUGAAAGUCUGACGACCCCGCAAGGGGAGUCUACACAGGUGCUGCAUGGCUGUCGUCAGCUCGUGUCGUGAGAUGUUGGGUUAAGUCCCGCAACGAGCGCAACCCUCGUGUCCUGUUGCCACCCGGUCGAGAGACUGGAGCACUCUGGACAGACUGCCUCGCUUAAACGGGGAGGAAGGUGAGGAUGACGUCAAGUCAGUAUGGCCCUUACGGCCAGGGCUGCACACGUACUACAAUGGCUGGCACAAAGGGAAGCAAGACCGUCAGGUGGAGCAAAUCCCCAAAAACCAGCCUCAGUUCAGAUUGUCGUCUGCAACUCGACGGCAUGAAGCUGGAAUCGCUAGUAAUGGCGCAUCAGCUACGGCGCCGUGAAUACGUUCCCAGGCCUUGUACACACCGCCCGUCACAUCAUGAAAGCCGGUUGUACCCGAAGUCAUCGCGUUAACUGCAAAGAGACAGAUGCCGAAGGUAUGGCUGGUGAUUGGGAUGAAGUCGUAACAAGGUAACC